UACGUAGGGUGCAAGCGUUGUCCGGAAUUAUUGGGCGUAAAGAGCUCGUAGGCGGUCUGUCGCGUCUGCUGUGAAAACUCAGGGCUUAACCCUGAGCUUGCAGUGGGUACGGGCAGGCUAGAGUGUGGUAGGGGAGACUGGAAUUCCUGGUGUAGCGGUGGAAUGCGCAGAUAUCAGGAGGAACACCGAUGGCGAAGGCAGGUCUCUGGGCCGAUACUGACGCUGAGGAGCGAAAGCGUGGGGAGCGAACAGG
rnacentral:rRNA from 1 species